GAUGAACGCUGGCGGCGUGCCUUAUGCAUGCAAGUCGCACGCACCGCAAGGUGAGUGGCGGACGGGUGAGUAACACGUAGGAACCUGCCCGAAAGUGGGGAAUAACUCCUCGAAAGAGGGGCUAAUACCGCAUGUGGUCGAGAGACUAAAGCUUCGGCGCUUUCGGAGGGGCCUGCGGCGGAUUAGCUUGUUGGUGGGGUAACGGCCUACCAAGGCGACGAUCCGUAGCUGGUCUGAGAGGAUGGUCAGCCACACUGGGACUGAGAUACGGCCCAGACUCCUACGGGAGGCAGCAGCAAGGAAUUUUGCGCAAUGGACGAAAGUCUGACGCGGCAACGCCGCGUGGGGGAUGAAGGCUCUCGGGUUGUAAACCCCUUUUGCGAGGGACGAAGAUCUGACGGUACCUCGCGAAUAAGCCACGGCUAACUACGUGCCAGCCGCCGCCGUAA
rnacentral:rRNA from 1 species